GCGGAGAUGAUGACUACCAAGCAUUGAUAUUAUUUGAUAUUUGCUUGUAUUCGUACUGUCUGAUCCUA
rfam:Biomphalaria glabrata isolate BB02 unplaced genomic scaffold LGTN_random_Scaffold3144, whole genome shotgun sequence.